GACGAACGCUGGCGGCGUGCCUAAUACAUGCAAGUAGAACGCACAGUUUAUACCGUAGCUUGCUACACCAUAGACUGUGAGUUGCGAACGGGUGAGUAACGCGUAGGUAACCUGCCUGGUAGCGGGGGAUAACUAUUGGAAACGAUAGCUAAUACCGCAUAAUAUUAAUUAUUGCAUGAUAAUUAAUUGAAAGGUGCAAUUGUACCACUACCAGAUGGACCUGCGUUGUAUUAGCUAGUAGGUGAGGUAACGGCUCACCUAGGCGACGAUACAUAGCCGACCUGAGAGGGUGAUCGGCCACACUGGGACUGAGACACGGCCCAGACUCCUACGGGAGGCAGCAGUAGGGAAGCUUCGGCAAUGGACGAAAGUCUGACCGAGCAACGCCGCGUGAGUGAAGAAGGUUUUCGGAUCGUAAAGCUCUGUUGUAAGAGAAGAACGGGUGUGAGAGUGGAAAGUUCACACUGUGACGGUAUCUUACCAGAAAGGGACGGCUAACUACGUG
rnacentral:rRNA from 1 species